rnacentral:lncRNA from 1 species
AUUCUUUUCCAUCGUCGUUACAGGCUCCGAGAGCUGAACACACUCAAGGGACACGUCGAGUCUGUGGUGAAGUUGAAGGGACUCGACAUCGACACCAUUCAGCAGCACUACACAGUGUGAGAAAAGUAUUAUUGCUUCCUCAUAUAAAAUGAGAGAUUUUAAUGAAAUUGUGAUUUCACUUUGCUGUGCCAAGGAAAGAAAAAGAGAAAAUGUUUGAGAAAGAGACAACAAAACAAACAUUUAAAAAAAAAAAAAGAAGGAAGUUGCUAAUUUGCCAAACCUUUCCAACAUACAGAGAGAUUGUGUGGUGCCUUUGCCUUGUAAUUUUUCCUAGUUUUUUGCUUACUAUUUUUCUUCCAUAUGUAUUUGCAAUGUUAGUAAGAUAAAAGAAUUGUGUUUGGCUUUGACAAACUCCUAGUCCUCACCAUCAUCAUAAUGCAAUUUUUAAGCAUUCAAAUCAAAUUUUAAUACUCUCCUCUUUGAUCAUUAAUAUUCAAAUAUUCAAUCAUG